GAUGAACGCUGGCGGCGUGCCUAAUACAUGCAAGUCGAGCGAACAGACGAGGAGCUUGCUCCUCUGACGUUAGCGGCGGACGGGUGAGUAACACGUGGAUAACCUACCUAUAAGACUGGGAUAACUUCGGGAAACCGGAGCUAAUACCGGAUAAUAUAUUGAACCGCAUGGUGCAAUAGUGAAAGACGGUUUUGCUGUCACAUAUAGAUGGAUCCGCGCCGCAUUAGCUAGUUGGUAAGGUAACGGCUUACCAAGGCAACGAUGCGUAGCCGACCUGAGAGGGUGGUCGGCCCCACUGGAACUGAGACACGGUCCAGACUCCUACGGGAGGCAGCAGUAGGGAAUCUUCCGCAAUGGGCGAAAGCUUGACGGAGCAACGCCGCGUGAGUGAUGAAGGUCUUCGGAUCGUAAAACUCUGUUAUUAGGGAAGAACAAAUGUGUAAGUAACUAUGCACGUCUUGGCGGUACCUAAUCAGAAAGCCACGGCUAACUACGUG
rnacentral:rRNA from 1 species